rnacentral:rRNA from 1 species
GCGCGAAAACUUUACAAUGCUGGCAACAGCGAUAAGGGAACCUCGAGUGCCAGGUUACAAAUCUGGCUGUCGAGAUACCUAAAAAGCAUUUCAUAGCAAGGGCCGGGCAAGACCGGUGCCAGCCGCCGCGGUAACACCGGCGGCUCGAGUGGUAACCGUUAUUAUUGGGCCUAAAGGGGCUGUAGCCGGCCGGAUAAGUCUCUUGAGAAAUCUGGCAGCUUAACUGUCAGGCUUUCAGGAGAUACUGUCUGGCUCGAGGCCGGGAGAGGUGAGAGGUACUUCAGGGGUAGGGGUGAAAUCUUGUAAUCCUUGAAGGACCACCAGUGGCGAAGGCGUCUCACCAGAACGGACCUGACGGCAAGGGACGAAAGCUAGGGGCACGAACCG